AAAAGUCGUAACAAGGUUUCCGUAGGUGAACCUGCGGAAGGAUCAUUAUCGUAUUACAGAGGCACCUAGGGUUGUCGCUGACCUUUUAUAGGUCGUGCACGCCCAAAGUGCUCUCUUACAUCCAUUUCACCCUUUGUGCAUUACCGCGUGGGAUCCCCUAUCCGGGGUUCUUGCGUCUUUAUCCAAACAAACAUGAAUGUAUAGAAUGUCUUUUGCGAUUAUACGCAAUCAAUAUAACUUUCAACAACGGAUCUCUUGGCUCUCGCAUCGAUGAAGAACGCAGCGAAAUGCGAUACGUAAUGUGAAUUGCAGAAUUCAGUGAAUCAUCGAAUCUUUGAACGCACCUUGCGCCCUUUGGUAUUCCGAAGGGCACACCCGUUUGAGUGUCGUGAAUACUCUCAACCUUUUUGGUUUCUUGACCAAGAAGGCUUGGACGUUGGAGGUUUCUUUGCUGGCUUUCAUUAAAAGUCUGCUCCUCCUAAAUGAAUUAGUGGGAUCUGCUUUGCUGAUCCUUGACGUGAUAAUUACUUUUCUACGUCUUGGUUUUUGCAAUGUCACUCGCUUCAAACCGUCUUUAUAUUCAAAGACAAUAUUUACUUGACCUUGACCUCAAAUCGGGUGAGACUACCCGCUGAACUUAAGCAUAUCAAUAAGCGGAGGA
rnacentral:rRNA from 1 species